rnacentral:rRNA from 1 species
UACGAAGGGUGCAACCGUUGCUCGGAAUUAUUGGGCGUAACGCGCACGUAGGCGGCAUUGCAAGUCGGAUGUGAAAUCCCUCGGCUUAACCAAGGAAGUGCAUCCGAAACUGCUGUGCUUGAGUACUUAAGAGGAUCGCGGAAUUCCCGGUGUAGAGGUGAAAUUCGUAGAUAUCGGGAGGAACACCAGUGGCGAAGGCGGCGAUCUGGGAAGAUACUGACGCUGAGGCACGAAGGCCAGGGGAGCAAACGGG